GGGCUUUUGUAACCUAGC
rnacentral:snRNA from 1 species